AGCCUGAGUUGGACCUUGUCAUCGAGGAGCUGGAGCAGCUGAGACUUGGCUGACUUGGCCAAUGGACCUGACUGGCUCCAGUCUCUGGCAGAACAAGAGAGAAGGCCCCAAGGGGUCACCUAGCCACCCACCCACUGAGCAGCCUCCCCCUCAGCUUGGAACCUGGACCCUGGCUCAACUUGAAUUCCUGGCCUCCACUGGUCUUUUUCUCUGGAGCUGCAUUUUCAGUCUCUGUGUGACCCUCAGCCAAUCCCCAACUCUUUGGAGCCCUGUUUCUGAGGAUUGAGUGAGAAAAUGUAAGUCCUGGC